rnacentral:rRNA from 1 species
UNUGACUUGAGUGCAGAAGGGGAGAGUGGAAUUCCAUGUGUAGCGGUGAAAUGCGUAGAUAUAUGGAGGAACACCAGUGGCGAAAGCGGCUCUCUGGUCUGUCACUGACGCUGAGGCUCGAAAGCGUGGGUAGCGAACAGGAUUAGAUACCCUGGUAGUCCACGCCGUAAACGAUGAGUGCUAGGUGUUAGGCCCUUUCCGGGGCUUAGUGCCGGAGCUAACGCAAUAAGCACUCCGCCUGGGGAGUACGACCGCAAGGUUGAAACUCAAAGGAAUUGACGGGGGCCCGCACAAGCGGUGGAGCAUGUGGUUUAAUUCGAAGCAACGCGAAGAACCUUACCAGGUCUUGACAUCCCGAUGCUAUUCUUAGAGAUAGGAAGUUACUUCGGUACAUCGGAGACAGGUGGUGCAUGGUUGUCGUCAGCUCGUGUCGUGAGAUGUUGGGUUAAGUCCCGCAACGAGCGCAACCCUUAUUGUUAGUUGCCAUCAUUAAGUUGGGCACUCUAGCGAGACUGCCGGUAAUAAACCGGAGGAAGGUGGGGAUGGCGUCAAAUCAUCAUGCCCCUUAUGACCUGGGCUACACACGUGCUACAAUGGUCGGUACAAUGAGUUGCGAGCCGGUGACGGCAAGCUAAUCUCUGAAAGCCGAUCUCAGUUCGGAUUGGAGGCUGCAACUCGCCUCCAUGAAGUCGGAAUCGCUAGUAAUCGCGGAUCAGCACGCCGCGGUGAAUACGUUCCCGGGCCUUGUACACACCGCCCGUCACACCACGAGAGUUUGUAACACCCGAAGUCGGUGAGGUAACCUUUUAGGGGCCAGCCGC